rnacentral:rRNA from 1 species
GCAAGUCGAGCGCUCACUUCGGUGAGAGCGGCAGACGGGUGAGUAACACGUGGGAAUAUACCCAGCUCUGCGGAAUAACAGUUAGAAAUGACUGCUAAUACCGCAUACGCCCUUCGGGGGAAAGAUUUAUCGGAGUUGGAUUAGCCCGCGUUUGAUUAGCUAGUUGGUGAGGUAAUGGCUCACCAAGGCGACGAUCAAUAGCUGGUCUGAGAGGAUGAUC